AUUAUUGGUGAGUAGUAAUUUUAUUUAAUUAAUAAAUCUGUGCAAAGUUUAUCAGUGAUGUUUCCAGUUAGUUUGCAUUACAGAAUAUGUGCAUGUCAUGAUAGAGGGAUUCAACAGCUAGCUAGAAUUUCACAGAUGAUUGCACAUUAAUCGGACAACACAAGGAGCUCAUUUUAAUUUCUAUGUAUUCAAGUUAAUAUCUAAGUUAAUGUGCUGAUACAUGUAUUUUGCCAGUGAAUUCAUGCAUAACGACGGUGUAUACAUUUUACAGUCUAUGGAAGUCCCUUCAACAUUUAAAGUAACAUUAAGACUUCAGUGCACGUUGGUUAUUGGGUGGUAAUUCAGCAGAGCAGAUACAAAAUUGAAGGCAAGUUUAUUUACUAGCUAACUAGUGUUUUUGAAUGAUAUCUGAAAACCACAUGUUCUAUAGAUCAGAUGGUCAGAAUAUUCAUAAUUGAUCAAAAAACAGUUUCUCAGCCAGUAAUGCACACCACUCAACACAAUUCAUUUCAAACAUUGACUAAAAAUCCAUGAAGUUGACUGAGGAAAAUUCUUUCUAAGUUUCAGGUGAAACAGCAGGAAGCUAUUGGCGCUGGAUGGUCAGCCUUGAGGGCCACUUCAUAUGUGAGGGGAUCCAGCCCACCUUCUUGAUGGGGCUUGCUGCAUUAUUUUCCACUUUCUACACCUGCACGCUCAAAUUAAUCUCAAGGUGCACCGUAGGAAUAAACCCUGAGAGAGGCACCAAGGAUGGACAGGGCAAAGUCUUCUCAAAGAAAACUGGCAAAUUCACGAGCUACAAGACAAGACUACAACCGUAUAUCCACAUGUAUCCACUCUGCUGAUGGGACUCAUGGACUUGAGUGGGACUUCAUUUAAAAUGUCAGCGGGCUACCAAGGCUGGAUUGAGAGUAC